rnacentral:rRNA from 1 species
GAACGCUGGCGGCGUGCCUAAUACAUGCAAGUAGAACGCACAGUUUAUACCGUAGCUUGCUACACCAUAGACUGUGAGUUGCGAACGGGUGAGUAACGCGUAGGUAACCUGCCUGGUAGCGGGGGAUAACUAUUGGAAACGAUAGCUAAUACCGCAUAAUAUUAAUUAUUGCAUGAUAAUUAAUUGAAAGGUGCAAUUGCACCACUACCAGAUGGACCUGCGUUGUAUUAGCUAGUAGGUGAGGUAACGGCUCACCUAGGCGACGAUACAUAGCCGACCUGAGAGGGUGAUCGGCCACACUGGGACUGAGACACGGCCCAGACUCCUACGGGAGGCAGCAGUAGGGAAUCUUCGGCAAUGGACGAAAGUCUGACCGAGCAACGCCGCGUGAGUGAAGAAGGUUUUCGGAUCGUAAAGCUCUGUUGUAAGAGAAGAACGGGUGUGAGAGUGGAAA